rnacentral:lncRNA from 1 species
AAAAAUCAAAUCAAAUUAAUAUGGAACCAUAUGAAUGGCGAGUUAUGGGAGCUUUGUUUGGGAGACUUCGUAACAGCAUCCUGUUACAAUUACUUCUUGUUUUAAUAAAUAUAAGAUUUAAAAACUGCAAGUGCAAACAAAUUUAAUCAUAACAUAAUCAGCUGAUAAUUUUUUACCAAACAUCGUGGUGAUGUAACUGAUAAAAAUCACUCCAUCAAUCCUCCAGCC